rnacentral:lncRNA from 10 species
CACAGUUCAUGGUAAAGCCCAAGACUGUACCUGCCCAUCCACUGCCUUUUCCAUGUAUCCUGGAACUGAGCAUAGACCUCUUCCCAGGCAGAGCUGACAGCAAGUAAAGGAGAUCAUAAUCAGGGGACCAAACAACUUUGUCUAAAGUGUGAAUGUCACCUAAGGAGAAGCUGUGAGAUCAGAAGGGUGGGGCAGAGGAGCAGACACCAUGAGGGAGAGUCCUUGGGGGUACAUCUGCCAGACUGACACUGUCUGGCCUGGGCAGUGGAGGGGCUAGCAGGAACCACAGGUACUGGUGGUGUGGCUACUACCGUUACAACUGCCUGUGCUUGGACAUGGACCCUCUGCAAUAUGCGGCAGUUUCAUUCAUUGCCCCCUACAUUCUACACCAAGUAGAAAUGGAAGGCAAUUGGAUACUUCACAGACAAGAUCUAAGUGGAGAAGGAAUGCGUCCUGUGGCUGCAGAGAUCCUUGGAGCUUGGAGGGGAGAGCUUGAGCCCCACUGAUGAUGACCUCCCACAGCUCGCCAACUCAGCCCUCCCUAAGUCCCCAUCGGGGGCCAAUUCUCACUCUGGGGUUGGGGGGACUCCACCAUAGCUCAUCCAUCAUAGGGAUGUUGGUAUCUACUGUGGGUUGGGUAGGGCCGAUGUGCUGAGGAUGGCUCCCCCACAAGCAAGAGAUGUGGAUUUGGGGAGCUUCCCAUCUUGUGUUGAAGGAACAUAACUCAGAAUAAUAAGAGCCAACUAUAACAAACCCACAGCCAACAUCAUACUGAAUGGGCAAAAGCUGCAGGCAUUCCCCUUGAAAAGUGGCACAGGAUAAGGAAGCCCUUUCUCACCACUCCUAUUCAAUAUAGUGUUGAAAGUCCUGAUCACAGCAGUCAGGCAACAGAAAUAAUAAAGGGCAUCCAAAUAGGAAGAGAGGAAGUCAAACUAUCCUUGUUUGCAGACAGUAUGAUUCUAUAUCUAGAAAACCCCAUAGCCUCAGCCCAAAAGGUCCUUCAUCUGAUAAUUUCAGCAAAGUUUCAGGAGACAAAAUCAGUGUACAAAAAUCACUAACAUUCCUAUACACAGUCGCCAAGCCAAGAGCCAAAUCAGGAGCACAAUCCCAUUCAUAAUUGCCACAAAAAAGAAUAAAAUACCCAGGAAUGCAGCUAACCAAGGAAGUAAAGGAUCUCUACAAUGAGAAUCACAAACGCUGCUCAAAGAAAUCAGAGAUGACACAAACAAAUGGAAAAACUUUCCAUGCUCAUGGCUAGGAAGAAUCAAUAUCAUUAAAGUGGCCAUACUACCCAAAGCAAUUUAUAGAUUCAAUGCUAUUCCUAUCAAACUAUCAAUUACAUUUUUCACAGAACUAGAAAAAACUUAAAAUUCAUAUGGAACCAAAAAGCCUGAGUAGUCAAGGCAAUCCUAAACAAAAAGAACAAAGGUGGAGGCAUCACAUUACCUAACUUCAAACUACAGGGCUACCAUGACCAAAACAGCAUGGUACUGGUACAAAAGCAGACACACAGACCAGUGGGACAGAAUAGAGAGCCCAAAAAUAAGGCCACAAACCUACAGCCAUCUGAUCUUCAACAAAGUUGACAAAAACAAGCAAUGGGGAAAGGUCUCCCUAUUCAAUAAAUGGUGCUGGGAUAACUGGCUGGCCAUAUGCAGAAGAUCGUAACUGGACCCCUUUUACUAUGUACAAAAAUUAAGAUGGUUUAAAGAGUUAAAACCCAAAAUUAUAAAAAUCCUGAAGAUAACUUAGGCAAUACCAUUCUGGACAUAGGAACUGGCAAAUAUUUCAUGAUGAAGACACCAAAAGCAAUUGUAACAAAAGCAAAAAUGGACAAAUUGGAUUUAAGAGCUUUUUCAUAGCAAAAUAAACAACAGGGCAGACAAUCUACCAAAUGACAGAAAAUUUUUGCAAACUAUGCAUCUGACAAGGGGCUAAUAUCUAGCAUCUAUAAGGAAUUUAAACACAGUUACAGG